rnacentral:rRNA from 1 species
UACGAAGAGGGCUAGCGUUGCUCGGAAUUACUGGGCGUAAAGGGCGCGUAGGUGGCGCGGUUAGCGUGCGGUGAAAGCUCGGGGCUCAACCCCGAGUCGGCCGUGCGAACUGCCGCGCUGGAGCACUGUAGAGGCAGGCGGAAUUCCGGGUGUAGCGGUGGAAUGCGUAGAGAUCCGGAAGAACACCGGUGGCGAAGGCGGCCUGCUGGGCAGUGGCUGACACUGAGGCGCGACAGCGUGGGGAGCAAACAGG